CGCAAAAUACUCAACGAAACCGCUAAACAAUUUCUAAGUAACUUCUGUUUAUGGAAUGCUUUGUGUUGAAAUUGGCCUGGGCCGAAGCAGACAACACCACUGGCGGCACGGCUUGUCCACAUAAGCCCAUAUAGCACCACUCCAUAUGUGUACAUGCCGAAGUGUUUACAUAAUUUUAGGUGCAUAAGAUUUUAUAAAUCGAUUUUAAUCAGAACAUCGCACACGCUUAAUAUACCCACAAGCAUUUCUUUGCCACCCAAGGAACUAGGCCACCUCCAACUCCCCCCUUCACACCUACCGCCAUCCACCUUUUCAAUUUGAAGAGACUGCGGCAUCUUCCACAGAAACAAACAAGCAAUAGAAAAAGCACAGAAGUAGUCUACGACACGCGAACAGAACACAACAGCACACAAAACCGCCUGUGGCCUGGCCUCAGCAACUCAGCUAAUUAUCACCACAAAAGUGUGAUGCAUCCAACUCCUACGCUCGCUGUCUUUCACGUAGCGUAAGCAUACGGUCAAUGGUAAACUUAAGCGCGAGAAAUGCUGUGAGGGUGUAGGGAGGGUUAUCCAGAGGCUGUGUCAACUACGUGUGCGUCAUGUGUUCCAUAUCAAUUAUGACUACCGUGCAAUAAUAAACAAAUUUAUCAGCAGCGACAGUAGAAUGUGAAGCAAUUAUCAUGCGAAGCCACAUCAUUAGCAGACAUUCAUUCGCACUCACUACGCCAGUCGUUACUAUGAAAUAAAAUGCUGGGAAAAUAGUGUUAAAACAUACAGAUAUACAUAUGGUUAUAGAUAUAGGAUCUAUGUACACAUCCACCAGCACAUUAUAUUAGAUGAUAGCGGUGGGCCUGUAAAGUCAAUGAGAUGCUCUGUGAAUAAAGAAAUUAAGUGAAAGCAAUACAUAUUUUAAACUAAA